AUUGAACGCUGGCGGCAUGCCUUACACAUGCAAGUCGAACGGCAGCAUGGGUGCUUGCACCUGAUGGCGAGUGGCGAACGGGUGAGUAAUGCAUCGGAACGUACCCGGAAGUGGGGGAUAACGUAGCGAAAGUUCGCUAAUACCGCAUAUUCUGUGAGCAGGAAAGCGGGGAUCGCAAGACCUCGCGCUUCCGGAGCGGCCGAUGUCGGAUUAGCUAGUUGGCGGGGUAAAGGCCCACCAAGGCAACGAUCCGUAGCGGGUCUGAGAGGAUGAUCCGCCACACUGGGACUGAGACACGGCCCAGACUCCUACGGGAGGCAGCAGUGGGGAAUUUUGGACAAUGGGGGCAACCCUGAUCCAGCCAUGCCGCGUGAGUG
rnacentral:rRNA from 1 species